AUGACCGGUCGAAGGGAGUUCUUCGCCGAGCUCGACUCCGACGCGCAAGGCUCCGUCAAGUUUGGGGAUGCCUCCGCUGUGGAAAUUAAGGGCGUCGGCUCCGUCAUCUUCACCACCAAGACGGGAGAGCACCGGCUGCUCACCGGUGUCUACUACAUCCCCGCGCUAAGGAACUCCAUCAUCAGCUUGGGACAGCAGGAUGAGAACGGCUCACGCGUGCUGAUUGAGCAUGGGGUCCUACGCAUCUGGGAUCGCCAGGGUCGCCUUCUCGCCAAGGUACCCAGAGGUGGAAAUCGACUUUACGUCCUUGAUGUGCAGGUGGCACAACCGGUCUGUCUCGCUGUCCGUCGGGACGACGAGGCGUGGCAAUGGCAUGAGCGCUUUGGGCACCUUCAUUUUGAGGCCCUGAAGCGUCUAAGUGCCAAGGAGAUGGUGCGAGGCCUGCCAUGCCUCGACCAUGUGGAGCAGUUCUGCGACAUCUGCGUGAUGACGAAGCAGAGACGACUCCCCUUUCCCCAACAGGCGAGUUUUCGGGCCAAGGAGAGGCUGGAGCUCGUGCACGGAGACCUGGGCGGCCCGGUGACGCCAGCCACACCAGGAGGUCGACGCUACUUCCUGCUGCUCGUCGACGAUCUCUCCCGUUACAUGUGGGUGAUGAUCCUCGGCAGUAAGGGAGAGGCGGCGGACGCCAUCAGGCGCGCGCAGGUUGGUGUGGAGGUGGAGAGCGGCCGCAAAUUGCGCGUGUUGCACACUGACAACGGCGGCGAAUUCACGGCGGCUGAAUUCGCGUCGUACUGCGCUGAUGAGGGCAUCCAGCGCCACUACUCCGCGCCGUACAGCCCGCAGCAAAACGGCGUCGUCGAGCGGCGCAACCAGACGGUUGUGGGGAUGGCUCGGGCUCUCCUCAAGCAGAGAGGGAUGCCGGCUGUCUUCUGGAGAGAGGCGGUGCUAACAGCCAUCUACAUCCUCAACCGCUCGCCUACCAAGGCACUCGACGGCAGGACACCGUACGAGGCCUGGCAUGGGCGGAAGCCGGCGGUCUCCCACUUGCGGGUCUUUGGCUGCCUGCGUUCGCCAAGGAGCUCGGCCACAUCGGCAAGCUCGACGACAGGAGCACUCCGGGAGUCUUCAUCGGCUACGCGGAGGGCUCAAAGGCCUACCGCAUCCUCGACCCAAAGACACAGCGUGUGCGCACGGCGCGAGACGUCGUGUUCAACGAAGGGCGAGGGUGGCAAUGGGACAAGGCGGUGGACGACGGCUCGACGCCGACGUAUGACGACUUCAUUGUCGAGUACGCCCACUUCAAGGAAGCCGGGGGAGCAACCAGCUCCUCUUCGCCGGGCACGCCUACUGAAAGAUCGUGGAUGUCGCCUAGAGGGGGGCUAA
rnacentral:rRNA from 1 species